rnacentral:lncRNA from 1 species
AAACAUGAAGAAGUUUGCACAACAUCUAUGUCAAGUUUGAAAUCAAAGUGUGAAAAGGUUUAGGACAUAAUGAGAGAUGAAUGAAUGAGGAUGGAUUGUAAAAACUUCUUAGAAGGUUCACUUCUUGAAAUCAUAUAGGAGAUGAUUCAAGUGUGUCCUUUGGAAUGGAAAAUAAGUAAUGAUAAAAUAAACAAACAAAUGAUACCGGAUGCCACUCAAUGGUCUUACUCCAAUCU